CAGUAGCCGCGGGAACACGGAGGGAGCUAGCGUUGUUCGGAAUUACUGAGCGUAAAGCGCGCGUAGGCGGUUACUCAAGUCAGAGGUGAAAGCCCGGGGCUCAACCCCGGAACUGCCUUUGAAACUAGGUGACUAGAAUCUUGGAGAGGUCAGUGGAAUUCCGAGUGUAGAGGUGAAAUUCGUAGAUAUUCGGAAGAACACCAGUGGCGAAGGCGACUGACUGGACAAGUAUUGACGCUGAGGUGCGAAAGCGUGGGGAGCAAACAGGAUUAGAUACCCCGGUAGUCCCUGUCUCUUAUAC
rnacentral:rRNA from 1 species